rnacentral:rRNA from 1 species
AUACUCCUGACUGACCGAUAGUGAACCAGUACCGUGAGGGAAAGGCGAAAAGAACCCCGGCGAGGGGAGUGAAAAAGAACCUGAAACCGUGUACGUACAAGCAGUGGGAGCACGCUUAGGCGUGUGACUGCGUACCUUUUGUAUAAUGGGUCAGCGACUUAUAUUCUGUAGCAAGGUUAACCGAAUAGGGGAGCCGAAGGGAAACCGAGUCUUAACUGGGCGUUAAGUUGCAGGGUAUAGACCCGAAACCCGGUGAUCUAGCCAUGGGCAGGUUGAAGGUUGGGUAACACUAACUGGAGGACCGAACCGACUAAUGUUGAAAAAUUAGCGGAUGACUUGUGGCUGGGGGUGAAAGGCCAAUCAAACCGGGAGAUAGCUGGUUCUCCCCGAAAGCUAUUUAGGUAGCGCCUCGUGAAUUCAUCUCCGGGGGUAGAGCACUGUUUCGGCAAGGGGGUCAUCCCGACUUACCAACCCGAUGCAAACUGCGAAUACCGGAGAAUGUUAUCACGGGAGACACACGGCGGGUGCUAACGUCCGUCGUGAAGAGGGAAACAACCCAGACCGCCAGCUAAGGUCCCAAAGUCAUGGUUAAGUGGGAAACGAUGUGGGAAGGCCCAGACAGCCAGGAUGUUGGCUUAGAAGCAGCCAUCAUUUAAAGAAAGCGUAAUAGCUCACUGGUCGAGUCGGCCUGCGCGGAAGAUGUAACGGGGCUAAACCAUGCACCGAAGCUGCGGCAGCGACGCUGAUGCGUUGUUGGGUAGGGGAGCGUUCUGUAAGCCUGUGAAGGUGUGCUGUGAGGCAUGCUGGAGGUAUCAGAAGUGCGAAUGCUGACAUAAGUAACGAUAAAGCGGGUGAAAAGCCCGCUCGCCGGAAGACCAAGGGUUCCUGUCCAACGUUAAUCGGGGCAGGGUGAGUCGACCCCUAAGGCGAGGCCGAAAGGCGUAGUCGAUGGGAAACAGGUUAAUAUUCCUGUACUUGGUGUUACUGCGAAGGGGGGACGGAGAAGGCUAUGUUGGCCGGGCGACGGUUGUCCCGGUUUAAGCGUGUAGGCUGGUUUUCCAGGCAAAUCCGGAAAAUCAAGGCUGAGGCGUGAUGACGAGGCACUACGGUGCUGAAGCAACAAAUGCCCUGCUUCCAGGAAAAGCCUCUAAGCAUCAGGUAACAUCAAAUCGUACCCCAAACCGACACAGGUGGUCAGGUAGAGAAUACCAAGGCGCUUGAGAGAACUCGGGUGAAGGAACUAGGCAAAAUGGUGCCGUAACUUCGGGAGAAGGCACGCUGAUAUGUAGGUGAAGUCCCUCGCGGAUGGAGCUGAAAUCAGUCGAAGAUACCAGCUGGCUGCAACUGUUUAUUAAAAACACAGCACUGUGCAAACACGAAAGUGGACGUAUACGGUGUGACGCCUGCCCGGUGCCGGAAGGUUAAUUGAUGGGGUCAGCGCAAGCGAAGCUCUUGAUCGAAGCCCCGGUAAACGGCGGCCGUAACUAUAACGGUCCUAAGGUAGCGAAAUUCCUUGUCGGGUAAGUUCCGACCUGCACGAAUGGCGUAAUGAUGGCCAGGCUGUCUCCACCCGAGACUCAGUGAAAUUGAACUCGCUGUGAAGAUGCAGUGUACCCGCGGCAAGACGGAAAGACCCCGUGAACCUUUACUAUAGCUUGACACUGAACAUUGAGCCUUGAUGUGUAGGAUAGGUGGGAGGCUUUGAAGUGUGGACGCCAGUCUGCAUGGAGCCGGCCUUGAAAUACCACCCUUUAAUGUUUGAUGUUCUAACGUUGACCCGUGAUCCGGGUUGCGGACAGUGUCUGGUGGGUAGUUUGACUGGGGCGGUCUCCUCCUAAAGAGUAACGGAGGAGCACGAAGGUUGGCUAAUCCUGGUCGGACAUCAGGAGGUUAGUGCAAUGGCAUAAGCCAGCUUGACUGCGAGCGUGACGGCGCGAGCAGGUGCGAAAGCAGGUCAUAGUGAUCCGGUGGUUCUGAAUGGAAGGGCCAUCGCUCAACGGAUAAAAGGUACUCCGGGGAUAACAGGCUGAUACCGCCCAAGAGUUCAUAUCGACGGCGGUGUUUGGCACCUCGAUGUCGGCUCAUCACAUCCUGGGGCUGAAGUAGGUCCCAAGGGUAUGGCUGUUCGCCAUUUAAAGUGGUACGCGAGCUGGGUUUAGAACGUCGUGAGACAGUUCGGUCCCUAUCUGCCGUGGGCGCUGGAGAACUGAGGGGGGCUGCUCCUAGUACGAGAGGACCGGAGUGGACGCAUCACUGGUGUUCGGGUUGUCAUGCCAAUGGCACUGCCCGGUAGCUAAAUGCGGAAGAGAUAAGUGCUGAAAGCAUCUAAGCACGAAACUUGCCCCGAGAUGAGUUCUCCCUGACUCCUUGAGAGUCCUGAAGGAACGUUGAAGACGACGACGUUGAUAGGCCGGGUGUGUAAGCGCAGCGAUGCGUUGAGCUAACCGGUACUAAUGAACCGUGAG